GGGGGCUUAGAAGGGGUUUCUUGGCUCCUCAGCCAGAGUUGGGCUGUAAAUCAAGACCAAACAGGAACCAGAAGCCUUGCAUCUCACAAGGAGUCAUUAAGCCGUUAUUAAACAUACCAUAACUUCUCUGAAGCCUUAUUGGUUUCAACACCACAUUGGAGGCAUUAUGGCCAUUAGGGCCCCUAAUCACGGAAUGCAGACUGGCCAGAGAGAUGGGAGCACCUGGGACUGGUAUUUCUAGUCAAGAGGGAGGUUUGACUUGAAAUUAAGCUUCCCUUCUGGCCUCACCAGAGGGAUCCUUUCUCCAGGAUCUAGUGGAUCCAGCUCUGGGCAACCAAUUUCAAUCGAUCACCUUUGCCCAUUAAUAAGGUUUUUCAAUAGUUGUUGAUUGGAUAUCUUUUUUUUUUCUCUCUCUCUCUCUCUUGCCUGUACCUGUGAAAUUGGAUAUUGUUGACUUUCUAGGAGGAAGUCAAUUCAGAAUACCUAUUCUAUUCAACAGAAUUAUCAAGCAGUUUACUGUGGAGGAUGCAAAUAUCACCCAGGAAAAUGUCACCAACAAUUUAAACAAGGCAGCCUGAAUCAAAGGCUGAGUCUUUGUCUCCCAUGACAACCUUGCUGAGCCUCAGUUUCCUCAUCAUAAAGGUGGGCCACACAUGGAAGUAGGAUAUUUGCAACACAUUCGUGUUUUGAUGCACUGUAUUAAUUUAACAGAUGGUGGAUGAUUACCAUCUCCAGUGGGUUCCAUCACUGAUUAGGUAGAAAGCUUCUGACUUCAGACUGAAUGGGCCUAAGGCUGGAGCUGAGCAGAGAGAUGCAAGGACCUGCAUCCACUUUCAAGCCCAGAAGUUUCUCUUGACAUGCUCCCACUCUCUGAACAGAGCCAAUUUCCAUGCUGGGAUGGUGUUACCAAUUAAACUGAAGAGAGAGAAAACCCUAGACUACAUGGGAGUUUUGUGGGGAGGCUGGGAGAUCAUGGAGUGCCACAAAGGCCCUCAUAUUACAGAUGGAGUCUCAGUUGCCCAGGCUGGAGCAC